rnacentral:tRNA from 1 species
GGAUUGUAGCUCAGUGGUAGAGUGCUUGCCUAGCAUGUGUGAGGCCUGGGUUCGAUCCUCAGCACCA